CGAACGGGUGAGUAAUAUAUCGGAACGUACCCUGGAGUGGGGGAUCGUAGCGAAAGUUACGCUAAUACCGCAUACGAUCUAAGGAUGAAAGUGGGGGAUCGCAACCUCAUGCUCCUGGAGCGGCCGAUAUCUGAUUAGCUAGUUGGUAGGGUAAAAGCCUAAAGGCAUCGAUCAGUAGCUGGUCUGAGAGGACGACCAGCCACACUGGAACUGAGACACUCCAGACUCCUACGGGAGGCAGCAGUGGGGAAUUUUGGACAAUGGGCGCAAGCCUGAUAGCAAUGCCGCGUGAGUGAAGAAGGCCUUCGGGUUGUAAAGCUCUUUUGUCAGGGAAGAAGGCUACGGAUAAUACCUGUGGCUCAUGACGGUACCUGAAGAAUAAGCACCGGCUAAACGUGCCAGCAGCCGCGGUAAUACGUAGGGUGCAAGCGUUAAUCGGAAUUACUGGGCGAAGCGUGCGCAGGCGGUUUUGUAAGACUGUCGUGAAAUCCCCGGGCUCAACCUGGGAAGCGAUGGUGACUGCAAGGCUAGAGUUUGGCAGAGGGGGGUAGAAUUCCACGUGUAGCAGAAAUGCGUAGAUAUGUGGAGGAACACCGAUGGCGAAGGCAGCCCCCUGGGUCAAAACACGCUCAUGCACGAAAGCGUGGGGAGCAAACAGGAUUAGAUACCCUGGUAGUCCACGCUACCACAUAUGUCUACUAGUUGUCGGGUCUUAAUUGACUUGGUAACGCAGCUAACGCG
rnacentral:rRNA from 1 species